rnacentral:rRNA from 1 species
UAAGGAAUAUUGGUCAAUGGACGCAAGUCUGAACCAGCCAUGCCGCGUGGAGGAUGAAGGUCCUCUGGAUUGUAAACUUCUUUUAUCUGAGAAGAAACCCAGGAAUUCUUUCCUGGCUGACGGUACCAGAUGAAUAAGCACCGGCUAACUCCGUGCCAGCAGCCGCGGUAAUACGGAGGGUGCAAGCGUUAUCCGGAUUCACUGGGUUUAAAGGGUGCGUAGGUGGGUUGGUAAGUCCGUGGUGAAAUCCCCAAGCUUAACUUGGGAACUGCCGUGGAUACUAUCAAUCUUGAAUAUCGUUGAGGUAAGCGGAAUAUGUCAUGUAGCGGUGAAAUGCUUAGAUAUGACAUAGAACACCGAUAGCGGAGGCAGCUUACUAAGCGAUCAUUGACACUGAGGCACGAAAGCGUGGGGAGCAAACAGG